rnacentral:lncRNA from 1 species
GAUGGUGGUUCUUUUGGCAGUCAUGUUUUAAUGCCUUGAUGUAUUUUUUGGGUUCUUUUUGUUUUUUUUGGAUUUUUAUCUCAGCUUGUAAAGCUGUGUAUGUUUAUGGAUUUGUAAUACCUAACAAUAUAAUUUGACAUUCUGUGUGACACUCUGUGUUUCUAAUAGACAUUUAUUUUGUCUCAUUGGUCUCUUUGAUCUCUUUUGGCUAAAAAGGGGGAGAAGUAGCUAAAGGAG